UCUCUUUAUCUCAGUUUCGAAGUAAUUUGUUGACGAAUCGUUUAAAUGAAAACUUACGUUCUUCAUCACUAUCCUGCAGAUUUCCUAUUGAAAACCAACUAGAUUGAAAACCUACGUUUCAACCCUAACCCUAGAUUUACUCGAACAGAUUUAAGGUUCCUGCUGCAGAAAUUGAAAGUUAGGGUUUGAGGUUAUGUUCUAAGAUGAACGCUGCUUUGCUGCACGAAUCAAGAUUGAAUGGGUUUGCAGAGAAUGAUGUUGGUGGUUGGAUUUGAGAUCGAAAGUUAGGGUUGGAUUUGAGAUUGAAAGUUAGGGUGGAAAACAUAGAAAUUGAAAGUUAGGGUUUGAUAUUUGUGGAGUUUGAAAGUUAGGGUUGGAUUUGAGUUUGAAAGUUGUGUGGAAAAGAUAAAAAUUUAAAGUUCGGAUUGGAUUCGAUAUUCUGAGAUUGAAUGGGUUUGCAGAGACUAAUGUUGGUGGUUGGAUUUGUGGAGUUUGAAGCUGCUUUAACUAGCUUGUGCAGAUGAUGAAGUGGUAUUGUCAUUUGAGAAUUGAAGCCUAUGCUGAGGAACUGAAUAUGGCAUUGUUGCUUGGUGUCGGUGCUGCUACUAAGUGGUGGUUGUGCAAUGGUUGGGACUGAUUUAGGAGACAAGGAUGAGAAGAUUCAGAAAUGCAAGUGGUGGUGUUGCUGGGAUUGCAAUGGUUGCACUGGAGUUGGAGAUGGCUGGCGUUUGUAUAGCAAUGCUUUGCAGGGAAUGUGUUGUGAGACAGUUGAGUGUUGGAAACGGUUAGCUUGUAGACUGUUGCCAUUGUUACUUCUUGUCUUUCUCUCCCUGUAGAAAAGGUGAUCCUCUUCAAACACCAAGUACACAACCUAUACCUCCUCCAAUGCUAAGUAUGUAUGAGGUGAUUUCCGUAUUACAGCUGCUUGACCGGUAUGUAUAUGAAUUUGUUCGUACUUUCAUAGACUGGAAAUGGGGCAUUCGUUUCAUAUUGCCCUUCAAUUGGUUAAGGUUCUUUUUUGACAAGUUCUUCAUUUUCCUUUAUGAAGACAGGUAACUCAUGUUGCACUUGUAUUUGAAGUUCACAGGGGUUGGAUUAACGAGAACGAUGCCAUGGAUGCUACUGUACUUCAGGUUCCGCAUUUUUUCUUUCACAUAUGACACCCUUCUUUUAUUUGUGUGAAUAUCAUUAAAGUAUUAUAUAUUAAUUUGUUUAGCUUCUCUUAGAAAGGGAUAGUUGGAUUUGAAUUUGGCUUAUAUCUGAUACUGAGUAGUUAUAAAAUCAAUUACACUAGGCUGAUUGCCGAGGAACCCAUAUAAAUGAUGAUUGAGACUAUAUUUCACAUCUGAAAAACAGUCAAGAAGGUGUUGUUAAUGAUGGGAUUGGGAGGAGAUUCCAAGUCCUAGUAAUGCAAUGAUAGAUUUGUUGUUAUUAAACUCGAAAUUGCAGGUGAAGAAAUUAAGAGAGGAGCUCAAUACAACCAGGGAAAACACACCUCUGGGCACCGGGAAAACUUCACAUCAAGGUGUUUGCUUAAAAUCCUGAAAGAAUAAAAAAAGAGUUUUGGCAUAAGCUUUAGAUCAGAGUUGGGGCUAUCGUGACUGCAUGCUGCUAGAUUCGAAGGCAAGUUUGUUUUGUUUUUGUGUCAGAGAUGGCUUAAUUAUAAUUUAAAAUUGGGUUUUGUAGCUAAUCCAUAUUCUUAAGAUUUAUCAUAGAAAUAAGCUCCUAGUUUCCGUGCAGUAUAUGGAUGUUUAAUCAUUGUUGGCAUUGUGGAAAUCUUGUGAGUAACCUAUAACAUCACAAGAGGUGAGGUCAGUGAUUAACCUAUUUCCGUCAUAUAUUAUUACCAUGCUCUGUUUUUCUUAUGAUCAAUAUUGUGGAAGUUGCUGCCAUAUGGUGUGUUAGUGUGUUUAAUGAUUGGUAGCACUUAGUUUUCUCUGUACGUUUGCUGAGAUGCAAAGACUACUCAAUUUUUGACCACUAUAUUAUGUUUAUCUAUCCACUUUUUAG